CAGAACCAGUGGCACCCAAAUGAGCAACAUAAUGCCUGCCUGCUCUUUGAAUUACUGAAUUUCGUUGCCCCUUGGUAAAUGUUUCUUAUAGGAAAUAGCACAGCCGUUGAUCGUGGAUAUAAUCCAGCUGUAGUAAAAGCUAAUGCGCGCGAAAACAUCGGGGAAUCCAUAGCCACAUGGAACACCCCAGUUACCAAUGCCCACCAAGCGACCACGGCUGUCCACGAUGGGUCCUCCGGUAUCCCCAUGACAGGCUCCGGCUCCCACAUUUCCCACGGCACAGAGGUGACCCACAUCCAGAUCCGGACUACCGCCGUAGGUGGAAUUGCACUUUUCCGGGGCGA